rnacentral:pre_miRNA from 1 species
GGUGGAAUUUCUGGGUCAUAUGGUAACUCUAUGUUUAGCUUUUUAAGAAACUGCCAAAUUAUUUUCCAAAGCAGUUAUACCAUGUUAUAUUACCACCAGCAAU